GAUGAAGAACGCAGCGAAAUGCGAUACGUAAUGUGAAUUGCAGAAUUCAGUGAAUCAUCGAAUCUUUGAACGCAUAUUGCGCUCUCUGGUAUUCCGGAGAGCAUGCUUGUUUGAGUAUCAGUAAACACCUCAACUUCCAUAUCUUUUUUGAAAUGGGAGUUGGACUUGAGUGAUCCCAACGCUUUUCCUCACCGAAAAGUGUCGGGUUACUUGAAAUGCAGGUGCAGCUGGACUUUUCUCUGAGCUAUAAGCAUAUCUAUUUAGUCUGCCUAAAAAACAGAUUAUUACCUUUGCUGCAGCUAACAUAAAGGAGAUUAGUUCUUGUGCUGACUGAUGCAGGAUUCACAAAGACAGGCUUCGGCCGACUUUGUAAACUCGAUCUCAAAUCAAGUAAGACUACCCGCUGAACUUAAGCAUAUCAAUAAGCGGAGGA
rnacentral:misc_RNA from 1 species